UACGUAGGUGGCACGCGUUGUCCGGCUUUAUUGGGUUUAAAGGGUGCGUAGGCGGCUUUGUAAGUCAGUGGUGAAAUAUGGCAGCUCAACUGUCAGGGUGCCAUUGAUACUGCGGAGCUUGAGUACAGAUGAGGUAGGCGGAAUUGACGGUGUAGCGGUGAAAUGCUUAGAUAUCGUCAAGAACACCGAUAGCGAAGGCAGCUUACUAGGCUGUAACUGACGCUGAGGCACGAAAGCGUGGGGAUCAAACAGG
rnacentral:rRNA from 1 species